rnacentral:rRNA from 1 species
CGAGUGAAGCGGCAAAAGCUCAAAUUUGAAAUCUGGCACCUUCGGUGUCCGAGUUGUAAUUUGAAGAAGGUAACUUUGGAGUUGGCUCUUGUCUAUGUUCCUUGGAACAGGACGUCACAGAGGGUGAGAAUCCCGUGCGAUGAGAUGCCCAAUUCUAUGUAAAGUGCUUUCGAAGAGUCGAGUUGUUUGGGAAUGCAGCUCUAAGUGGGUGGUAAAUUCCAUCUAAAGCUAAAUAUUGGCGAGAGACCGAUAGCGAACAAGUACAGUGAUGGAAAGAUGAAAAGAACUUUGAAAAGAGAGUGAAAAAGUACGUGAAAUUGUUGAAAGGGAAGGGCUUGAGAUCAGACUUGGUAUUUUGCGAUCCUUUCCUUCUUGGUUGGGUUCCUCGCAGCUUACUGGGCCAGCAUCGGUUUGGAUGGUAGGAUAAUGACUAAGGAAUGUGGCUCUACUUCGGUGGAGUGUUAUAGCCUUGGUUGAUACUGCCUGUCUAGACCGAGGACUGCGUCUUUUGACUAGGAUGUUGGCAUAAUGAUCUUAAGCCACCCGUCUUGAAACACGGACC